rnacentral:rRNA from 1 species
UACGCGUGUGUGAAGAAGGCCUUAGGGUUGUAAAGCACUUCAAUUGGAAGGAAAAACUCAUGGCCAAUACCCGUGAGCUUGACAUUACCUUUAGAAGAAGCACCGGCUAACUCCGUGCCAGCAGCCGCGGUAAUACGGAGGGUGCAAGCGUUAAUCGGAAUUACUGGGCGUAAAGCGUGCGUAGGCGGCUCGCUAAGUCAGAUGUGAAAGCCCCGGGCUCAACCUGGGAACGGCAUUUGAAACUGGCAAGCUAGAGUUUAGGAGAGGAGAGUGGAAUUUCAGGUGUAGCGGUGAAAUGCGUAGAGAUCUGAAGGAACACCAGUGGCGAAGGCGACUCUCUGGCCUAAAACUGACGCUGAGGUACGAAAGCGUGGGUAGCAAACAGGAUUAGAUAUCCUGGUAGUCCACGCCGUUAACGAUGUCAACUAGCCGUUGGCUCUCUUAGAGAGUUAGUGGCGCAGCUAACGCAUUAAGUUGACCGGCUGGGGAGUACGGCCGCAAGGUUAAAAAUCAAAUGAAUUGACGGGGGCCCGCACAAGCGGUGGAGCAUGUGGUUUACUUCGAUGUCACGCGA